GAUUUAAAAAAUUGAUAAUCAAAAUUUUUAUAUUAAGGGUCUAUUGGUAUAAUAUCUGAUUCAGACACUAGUCAUAGUGAAUUACAUACUGAAGAACUGCCAAUUUCUUUUAUUGAAGAUUUGAAGGCAGAAGAAGUUAAAGAAGGAUCAGAGGCAGAAUUAUGGAUAGAAGAAACUUUACCCAAUUUAGAAAUUUUACAAGAAGAAGAGAUGCCAUCAUAUCAAGAUAGUCAACCUCCCACAGAUGCUUUUGCUGAAAUUAUACAUGAAGAAAAGGAACCAGAAGGUAUAAAAA